AAGGAGAUAAAUGUGGAGCUAGUGAAAGAAGCAGAUUUUUUUGGUGAUAUUGUUAUAGUUCCAUAUAUGGACAAUUACGACCUUGUUGUAUUAAAGACUGUAGCAAUUUGUGAAUAUGGGGUACGUGCAAUCUUUUUUUGGUGAUAUUGUUAUAGUUCCUUAUAUGGACAAUUACGACCUUGUUGUAUUAAAGACUGUAGCAAUUUGUGAAUAUGGGGUACGUGCAAUCACAAAAGUCCAAGAUGCUCAUCUAGGCCUCAGUUUUUUCUCAUAUGCUUUUUAACAUUUAUAUACUCGUGGAAUAUUUCAG
rnacentral:lncRNA from 1 species